CAUACGUCCUACGGGAGAAAGCAGGGGAUCUUCGGACCUUGCGCUAAUAGAUGAGCCUAAGUCGGAUUAGCUAGUUGGUGGGGUAAAGGCCUACCAAGGCGACGAUCUGUAGCGGGUCUGAGAGGAUGAUCCGCCACACUGGGACUGAGACACGGCCCAGACUCCUACGGGAGGCAGCAGUAGGGAAUAUUGGACAAUGGGGGAAACCCUGAUCCAGCCAAAGCGCGUGUGUGAAGAAGGGCUUAUGGUUGUAAA
rnacentral:rRNA from 1 species